GGGGUCGGCCUCCUGCUGCGCAGAACGCCCGGGAGACGCCGGUCCCAGCUUCCAGUUAGGGUUCCGCUCUGCUUUAAAGCGACUUGGAACUACUCCUGGCCCCGCCGAGUUCGGGCCGGCCCUCGCCUGGCUCGCGGGGCCUGGGAGCCACCUGGAACCACGGGGCCGAAGCCCUCCCUCCUCAUUCCCACGGGCCGGACGGCUCCGCGGCAGGUUCCCAGGACAAGAGUGGUUGAUGUCCCCUAGGCCCUGGCCCAUGGAAGGCUUCCCUCAUGAGGAGAGAUGGCCCCAGACGUCCACACUCAGCCACGUGCUCAGGUGCAGGGGUCAUCCCCACCUUGACCCUGUUGCGCUUUCACCAGGAGGCUGCGAGCUGUGAGCUGCGCUGGCUGUAGAUUUCUGUCCAGGCCAGAUCAAGGUCCACACUGAUAUGAAGCAAUUCAGACCCCCAGGAUGACACUAAGAGUGUCUCCCAUUGCAACUCUGGACAGAGAACAGCAUGGGACACCUGGAGUGUAGCCUUUAAAUCACCUCUUCAACCACCUCUCACCCCCAAUGGGCAGGAUCACAGCUCUGAGACAGGAGCCCCUGUGCUUCUCCUUUGCUAGAAGAGCAAUAAAACUUCUUUUGCCUUUUUCUCAAAUCCAUGUCCUCAUUGGAUUGGCAUCGGGGACAAGGACAGAGCUUUCCAUUACCUGAUGCAUCUUGUUUCUUUGCUGAGCCGGUGUUUAUGUCAGGACUGUUUGCAGUUGCUGGUUCAAGCAUCUCUAAAGAGCUCUCUGGAGUCCUUGAUGAACAAAUCACCUUUGCGAGGCUCUGCAGUGCUGCCAUCUGUGGCUGGGAUUUUCACCCUCCUCAUCUGUCCAGUGGUUUUGAUUUCUAUCCUGGGAAAUUUGAGGUUGAUGUUUCAUGUUAAUCUCCUGUAGGAUAUGGUCCCUGUGUUGGCUCAGUUCCCAGGGCUCUGCUGUAGGUCCCGGGCUAGCCGACCUGUGCACCACCUUGAAGAGGGGCUCAGAUCCACACACCUGCAGAUUAGGGAUGAACUCAGGAGUUCAAAAGUCAGAGUUCUUGGGAUGUCCUCCUCACGCUUCUUUUUCUCUGUGACUUUCUGGUACUUUCCAGUUACCACUUCUGUAUUUGUGACCAAACGGCAGGAGAAGGGAGAGGGGAAGAGCCCUUUGGGAGGUUGCCACACCCAGAGUGACACACGUCAGCAACUGGAGAAAACGAUCCUAUUCACAACAGUCUCAAAGAUAAAAAUAUGCCUGAAAUGGGCUUAAUAAAACAGUCUGGCACAGUGGCGUCCCACAGCAUUCCCAGUGUGCGGUGCUGAAGAGCUCUGGACAUGGGACUUCCAAGGAUCAGCAGCUCACUACUGUUCGAAGGCCGUGCGCCCCCAUGCCCAUCACAAUGUGAACAGGAUCUUUUUGUGUGUGGGUAUGGAAAAAAUCAUCAAUCUGAUCAUAAAAUUUAUAUAAAAAGCGCAAGGAUUCACAAUAGCCAAACAAUUUCAAAAAGGAAUGAAGUUGGAGGACUAACAAUUUUGAAUUUGAAAACUUGCUACAAAACUAUAGUAAUAAAGUGAGCGAUCAACGUCCAGAUCCAUGGAGCCCAGGUAGGCCCAUCUGGACUGGUCAGUUAACUUAACGACGCUGCCAAGGAUUCCCAUGGGGAAAAGGGCUGUCUGUCCCACAAUGACACAAUGUGACCAGGUACCAUGUGUCAGAGAUAGUGGAGACCCUCGCUUCAUGCCUAUCACAAAAAUGAGCCCAAAUGAACCUUGAAGACAUGGAACCCUGAACUCAAAGGAAAGGGGGAUCUCCACGACUGUGCCAGACAGUCCCCUGGACAGACACCAAGGCAGGGUCCAUGAAGGAGAGGGACUGAACCCAUCACACUGACAGUUCCAUGCUCCAUGACUUCAUUAAGGAAGUGACGUUUGGGAGAAAACAUUUGCAGAUUGCCGCUGUGACAACGGACUCGCACUUCACACUCGGGGACACGGGCACCGGGCACCGCCCUGGCUGCUCUGCCACUGCAGCUCAGAUUUUAAAGGGACAGGUUUCUCUCUCCUCCUCUCUCCCUGCCCCUCCCUGAGCUCAGGGAAACAGGUCACCUUUCUUCCCAUCCACGCAGACUCCUGUCCCUGAGCACACACCCUCCAUAGGCAGGACAUCCUCCAGACUCUGGGGAUGGCCCAGAAGGUCUCAGAAAUGACUGUCUCCCACGUUAACAAGUGAAUUUCAGCUCCCACAGAGACAGGUGGAGUGUGGCCUUGGAGUCGCCUCUGAACGCCCCUGUUCCUGCCGAUCUGUGGGACAGGGUCCGCUGUGUUUCCCCUUUGCUGACAAAGCAAUAAACCUUCUUUUCCUUUUUCUCAAAA